rnacentral:rRNA from 1 species
AUACGUAGGGGGCGAGCGUUGUCCGGAAUUACUGGGCGUAAAGGGUGCGUAGGCGGAAUGUCAAGUCAGAUGUGAAAUACCCGGGCUUAACCCGGGGGCUGCAUUUGAAACUGACAUCCUUGAGUGCAGGAGAGGCAAGUGGAAUUCCUAGUGUAGCGGUGAAAUGCGUAGAUAUUAGGAGGAACACCGGUGGCGAAGGCGACUUGCUGGACUGUAACUGACGCUGAGGCACGAAAGCGUGGGGAGCAAACAGGAUUAGAUACCCUGGUAGUCCACGCCGUAAACGAUGGAUACUAGGUGUGGGGUCCGAUAGGAUUCCGUGCCGCAGCAAACGCAAUAAGUAUCCCGCCUGGGGAGUACGAUCGCAAGGUUGAAACUCAAAUGAAUUGGCGGGG